CCUCUAAGCACAUUUAGGAGCUCUGGCGGCACAGUGGUUAGAAGGCAGUAUUGCAGGCAAACUCUGUCCAUAGACUGGAGUUCGAUCCUGACUGGCGCAAGAUUGACUCGUCCUUCCAUCCUUCCGAGCUUUUUCUUGCUCAGAAGUUUUUUACACCUGUUAAAAAAAAAGAUGGUGCAAAGAUCUUUUGCCACUGUACUUUAGAAAACUUGUGUUUCACCUCUUAGCAGAUCCUAAACCCAUCCAGAAAUAUCAUGAAAUGCUCACAACUACUGCACUUUCAAUGGACACAAGAACUGUACAGAGACUUUCAACCAUCAACUAAAUCCAUUUUCCAGUUUUCCAACAAUAGUGUCUGCACCGAACUGACGGAAACGCGCAUAACCACUCAAAGGCAGCCGAGACAGACAAUACCCUCAACUCUUAGUGUUACCGGGUUGUCAAUAGGUCAACUAUUUUCAAAGCGAGAGGAAAAAUAAAAGUCCAAUCGGCGAAUUAUA